UACGGAGGGUGCAAGCGUUAUUCGGAAUGACUGGGCGUAAAGCGCACGUAGGCGGUUUGCUAAGUCUGAUGUGAAAUCCCUGGACUCAAUCCAGGAAGUGCAUUGGAUACUGGCAGACUAGAGGACAGGAGAGGAGAGCGGAAUUCCAGGUGUAGAGGUGAAAUUCGUAGAUAUCUGGAGGAACAACAGAGGCGAAGGCGGCUCUCUGGACUGUCACUGACGCUGAGGUGCGAAAGCGUGGGGAGCAAACAGG
rnacentral:rRNA from 1 species